CCCAUUUGUUAUUCCAGGUUAUGUUGUUUAAUUUCUACUGAUUUAAGAAUUUUCUAGUUUUCUUCCUGUUACUGACUUGUAGUUUUAUAUCAUCAUGGCCAGAAAAGAUACUUAAUAUGAUGUCUAUCUUCUUAAAUUUGUAAGACUUAUUUUGUGGUAUAACAUGUGAUCUAUUCUGGACAGUAAUCCAUGUCUACAUUAGAAUAACGUAUAUUCUGCUCAUGUGGUGUGAAACAUUCUAUAUGUGUCUGUUGGGUCUUUUUGAUAUAUAGUUUCAGUCAAGUGUUUUCUUAUUGCUUUUCUGUCUGGAUGAUCUAUCUUUUGUAAAAAGUAGGAUAUCAACGUACCCUAAUAUGAUUGUAUUGCUGUUUAUUUCUCCUUUCAGAUCUGUUAACAUUUUGUUUAUAUAUUUAUUUGCUCUGCUGUUGGAUUCAUAUGUAUUUACAGAUAAUUAUAUAUUCUUGAUGAAUAGAUAUCUUUAUCAUUAUAUAAUGGCCUUUUUUUUUCUACUGACAGUUUUUGACUUGACUUAACCUCCAUUUUGUCUGAUACAAGUAUAGCUACCAUAGUUCUCUCUUUGUUUCCAUUUGCAUGAAAUAUCUUUUUCUAUCCCUUCACCUUCAAUUAGGGUGUCCUUGAAGGUGAAAUGAUUCUCUUGUAGGCAACAUAUAUUUGGGUUUUGUUUUCAAUAAAUUCAUUCAGGUGCUUUAUAUCCUUUGAUUGGAGAAUUUAAUGCAUUACCAUUUAAAGUAAUUAUUGAUAGGUAGGAUUUACUAUUGACAUGUUGUUAGUUAUUUUCUGGAUGAUUUGUAGCUCUUUUUUUCUUUCCUUUCAUUGUUUUUCUUUGUGAUUUCAUUAUUUUCUAUAGCAGAAUACUUUGAUUCAUUUAUCUUUAUCUUUUGUAUGUUUAACAUAGGUUCUUCCUUUGUGGUUACUAUGAGGCUUAUAUAAACUAUUAACAACUUAAUGUCAGUCACAUACCAAAGUUCUGCAUUUUAAUUUUCCCAUUUUAUCGUUGCUAUUACAGUUUACAUCUUUUCAUAUUGUAUAUCCUUUAUCAAGUUAAUGCAGCUAUGGUUAUUUUUAAUAAUUUUUAACCUUUAUAUUAGAGUUAUAAGUGAUUUACACACCACCAUUACACCUUUAUCAGUGAGGUUUAUACUUUCAUAUGUUUUUAUAUUACUGAUUAGCAGCCUUUUAAUUUUAGCUUUUGUUUUCCUUUAACAUUUCCUGCAAGGCAGGUCUAGUGGUAAUAAACUCCCUUAGCUAGGUACUUUAGUCUGGAAAAUUCUAUAUUUUUCUCUCAUUUUUGAAGAAUAUUUUUGCUGGGUAAAAUACUUUUCUUUCAACACUUUGUAUAUGUCAUCCCAUUGUCUUCUGGCAUACAAAGUUUCUGCUGAAAAAUCUGCUCAUAGCCUUAUUAGGACCCUUUCUAUGGGAUAUACUUCUUUUCUUUUGUUCUUUUCAUAAGUCUUUCUUUGUCUUUGAUGUUUUAUAGUUUGAUUGUAAUGUGUUUCAGUGUACUCAAAGACAGAUCAUUUUAAAUCAUCCAGUCGGAGAAGAAAAAGAAAAAAGGAAUGAAAAGGAAUGAGGAAAGCCUACAGGAUCUAUGGGGCACAAUCCAGAGAGCUAACAUUUGUAAAAUUCAGGAGUUUCAGAAGGUGAAGAGAGAGAGAAAGAGAGAAAAAAAAAAAAAGCUUAUUUAAA